rnacentral:lncRNA from 1 species
GUUUGGCUCUCACAGGAGCUCGAUCGGGAUUCGAAAGGCGAUCGAUCAUCGUAGAAACUUGGAAGGAGUCUGGUUACUGUAGAAAUCUCAUUGUCGGGGAAGCUCGGAUGUUGACGAAGCCCGAAAGAAGUUCGGAGUAGGGUCAUCCAUGGCCGGAAGAAGUCCAGGAGAGACUCGAAGAAUGGUUGGCUGCUGUAGGAGGUCGACUGUCAGUGAGGCCCAGAGGGCCUUUGGGGCGGCCCGGUGGGUGAACAUAGAAGUCCAUUGUCGGAGAAGUCCGGAUGGCCGAGGGAGUUCGGAGAGGUGCCACAUACAAGGUC